CACAUCAAUCUCAGCAUUAUCUGUUUUGCAGCUUCAAAGCCUUUAGCAUCUAAUGUUUAACACCAAACUGGGUGGUUUGCAGCAAGAGGUGAGUUCCUACCUGCAAAGGCGUGUCAGUAUUUAAUCAGCAAGUGUUGAACUUCUCCCAACAAAAGCGCUGCCAUCAUGGACCUGAAAGGUGUGUUUCUGUCCCUCUGCCUGUGUGCUUUGGUCGUCACCUGCACUCAUGGAUGCUGCUACAAUAUAGGACAAUUCCAACCGAAGAAAACACAGAGAAUCACAAGUAUAGGAAUCCAGCACGCCAGCGGUCGUUGUCAGAUCAAUGCAGUGGUAGUGCAUCUGGAUGGCCGCGAAACACCCAUUUGUGUUCACCUCAAAAGGGAAAAACAGAUUCGCAAGUUAAAAAGAAAACAGGAUAUGGAAGCACAACGAGCUCAGAAAAAUCAAAUGAAGACAAAACACUUUAAGGAAAAACAUAAGAGUAAUUAAGAGUUGGAGAAAAUCCCUGCCUUUGAUUUCCAUUUAUACUGGUCCCUGCUUGUUCUGUCUUGUAUAAUUUGUGUACUUCUGAUAUUUGGUUUUUGCUGACUUUACUCAUUAUGAACUCUUUUUUAAAUCAGAGAUGAAAAGUAGGAGGAACGUCCUAAAAAGUUGUGUUUUGUGUUAAGCAUGAAAGAAUAAAUGUAUAUCACCUUUUUUCUAUAUCAAACACAAAUGAGUUUAUUUGUAAUUUUUUUUUACAAUGCAAUAAAUGAAAAACAAUAAUAUGCAUAGAUAUGGUUAAACUACUCCCCUGUAAAAAAAUCCUUGCAUGUUAGAAUUGCUGACUGGCAUAAUAUUCUUAGUGUGUUUUUUCCGUAUCUGCAUUUUGGUUUAUUUCACUAUGAUGUUAAUUAUACAUAUUAAAUCAUAAACUGUAAUGUGUGAUUUAUGUCAUUUUUAGAGGUUUUUAUCAGACCAACGCUCUCUGCUGAAAGAUUUCCUCCUUUUCCCCAACCACACUCAUAUGAGUUGGAUAACAUGGUUGCAUAUUUUGCAUUAAAGAGCAUUCAUUUACAUUAAA